rnacentral:lncRNA from 1 species
GAAAUUCUUUCCUCCCAAACUUUAAUUCUUCAACAAGACACACUGCUCAUGCUUGAAAUUCAGAGAACAUUGUCAAGGAAUCAUACAACAUCCAUAGCCAAUUUAUGAUUUACUAACAGCUACAAAGCCAAGUGAAUUGAAAUGAAGUAAAAGAGAUUAGAAGUAACCUGAAAUUAGAUUUCCGAUUAAUAAUAAAGUGGCAAUUAUACGGAUUAAAAUGACACGACAAUAACAAUUAGAAAUUGACCCAACUUCGAACGAAAUCAGUAACAAUCGAACCGUAAAACCAACAGACAGUACCCGACGCCUCCAAUGACCUCGAUUCUGCCCGGAAAUUAGAAUUGAACCUCAAACAACGCUCAUUUUUCAAAAAAAAAAAAAAAAGGAACCUGAAUUGAAAGAGGAAAUCGAGCGUAUUUUGUAUAUAUUUUCUAGAACACGAUACCAAGGGAGACGAGGUAUGGUGCUGAGUAUAGGAAUCUUAGCCGCUACUAUUUUCCGGCGAGCUUAAGCCAUGGAGACGAGUCUGGUUUUGGCUGAAAAAAAGGUUGAAGAAAAAGACGGUUAAGGGGAUCUCUCCUAGUGGAUUGCGGCUGCUAUUGAUUUUCCUAAAGCUAAGUCCUCUCUCCUGGUGUAUUGCGGCUGCUAUUGAUAUCCUUGAAGAAAACGAUUCCCCCUUUUCUAGUUCUGUGAGUGAGUCUCAAAUAAAGGAGAGUGUGUGCAUUUUUUUGUGAAGAAGAAGAU